GUCUACAGCCAUGCCACCCUGAACAAGCCCGAUCCCAUCUGAUCUCGGAAGCUAAGCAGGGUCGGGACUGGUUAGUACUUGGAUGGGACACCACCUAUGAAGACCAGGUGCUGUAGGCG
rnacentral:rRNA from 1 species